rnacentral:rRNA from 1 species
GACGAACGCUGGCGGCGUGCUUAACACAUGCAAGUCGAACGGAAAGGCCCUGCUUUUGUGGGGUGCUCGAGUGGCGAACGGGUGAGUAACACGUGAGUAACCUGCCCUUGACUUUGGGAUAACUUCAGGAAACUGGGGCUAAUACCGGAUAGGAGCUCCUGCUGCAUGGUGGGGGUUGGAAAGUUUCGGCGGUUGGGGAUGGACUCGCGGCUUAUCAGCUUGUUGGUGGGGUAGUGGCUUACCAAGGCUUUGACGGGUAGCCGGCCUGAGAGGGUGACCGGCCACGUUGGGACUGGGCUACGGCCCAGACUCCUACGGGAGGCAGCAGUGGGGAAUAUUGCACAAUGGGCGGAAGCCUGAUGCAGCACCGCCGCGUGCGGGAUGACGGCCUUCGGGUUGUAAACCGCUUUCGCCUGUGACGAAGCGUGAGUGACGGUAAUGGGUAAAGAAGCACCGGCUAACUACGUG